AACGAACGCUGGCGGCAGGCCUAACACAUGCAAGUCGAGCGAGGACUUCGGUUCUAGCGGCGGACGGGUGAGUAACGCGUGGGAAUGUGCCCUUCUCUACGGAAUAGCCCUGGGAAACUGGGAGUAAUACCGUAUACGCCCUAUUGGGGAAAGAUUUAUCGGAGAAGGAUCAGCCUGCGUUGGAUUAGGUAGUUGGUGGGGUAAUGGCCUACCAAGCCGACGAUCCAUAGCUGGUUUGAGAGGAUGAUCAGCGACACUGGGACUGGGACACGGCACAGACUCCUACGGGAGGCAGCAGUGGGGGAUCUUAGACAAUGGGGGCAACCAUGAUGUAGCCAGGCCGGGUGAGUGAUGAAGGCCUUAGGGUUGUAAAGCGCUUUCAGCUGGGAAGAUCAUGACGGUACCAGAAGAAGAAGCCCCGGCUAACUCCGUG
rnacentral:rRNA from 1 species